CUCUCCUGAGGUCCCGGUCCGCGGGCGGGCGCGCGUGGGCGUAUCCCCUUCACCCACGCGCGGCCCCUUCACCCUUCUCGGCUCUCGUCCAGGAGGCCGUUUUCUGAAAUGGAGCCAUGGAGAAUCCGCAGUUCAUAAUGGAGCUAACUGUACUGGCUGUCGGAAGGAGGAGAUUCUGAAGAUAGGGAGAUUCAGCUGUCGGUCUUUGAAAUUUCCUGUGGUCUGUUCCACCUGGAUGCAGAGGACAUGGAGCAAUCAAGUACGCAAGAGGUCCAAGCGUGUUUUGGAUGUUCCCCUUGAUAGACUGCAGUAUUUUUCCGGUUAAGACCCUCAGCUGUUGUGCAGAAGAAGGUUGUUCUCUUCUUGGUCCAUCCAGUUUCCUUGAAAUGCUUAGUAUUGUAGAGUAUCACCAAACAGUUUCUGUUUUCAUCCAAGCAUAGAAAGAAUAAAAUCAAUUCUAUACGUUGA